rnacentral:rRNA from 1 species
CAAUAGCGUAUAUUAAAGUUGUUGCAGUUAAAAAGCUCGUAGUUGAAUUUUUGCUUGCCGCCGAUGUCGGAACUUCCGUACGUUCGGCGGCGUGCAUCCUUGGGUGGAACCUGUGUGGCAUUAGGUUGUCGUGCAGGGGUUGCUCAUCGUUUACUGUGAAAAAAUUAGAGUGUUCAAAGCAGGCUUACGCCGUUGAAUAUAUUAGCAUGGAAUAAUAAGAUAGGACCUUGGUGCUAUUUUGUUGGUUUGCGCACCGAGGUAAUGAUUAACAGGGACAGUUGGGGGUAUUCGUAUUCCAUUGUCAGAGGUGAAAUUCCUGGAUUUCUGGAAGACGAACUACUGCGAAAGCAUUUACCAAGGAUGUUUUCAUUA